rnacentral:sRNA from 1 species
GUGGAAAGUUUGCUUUGGGGGAUUCAGGGAGCCUGGCCUCACCUGGCCCUAUCUAGAGUUGAGAGGAGGUCUCUAGGCUGAGGGCAAUCCCUGUGCCCCUCCUGCAGGACAGCUAACCCCCGCAUCGGUGACGUGAUCCAGAAGCUGGCCCCCUUCCUGAAGAUGUACAGUGAGUAUGUCAAGAACUUUGAGCGAGCGGCUGAGCUGCUGGCCACCUGGACCGACAAGUCUCCACUCUUCCAGGAGGUUCUCACUCGCAUCCAGGUGAGGCUGGGGGAGGGCUGGAGUCAGCAUUGCACUCCCAGCAUGCAGUGGCUCAGGUUGCCUUGAGUGAUUCCGGGCAUCUCCCAGGCUCAGCUGCUUCCAUAGGCCCCUGCCUACUCGUCUGGCCCUCAGGAGCAGCCUGACCCACCUCCCUUCUCUCACCCUCUCCGUGUUGCUCCCCCAUCCCUCCCCAAGAGCAGCGAGGCUUCGGGCAGCCUGACCCUGCAGCACCACAUGCUGGAACCAGUGCAGAGAAUUCCACGUUACGAGCUGCUGCUCAAGGAGUACAUCCAGAAGCUGCCAGCCCAGGCCCCAGACCAGGCCGAUGCCCAGAGUCUGGCUUGUUUUGGGAAGCAGUGAGAGUCACCAAAGCCAAACACCUAAUGGCUAACGUUCAGUGGCUUCCAGUCUCUCAGCCCUGGGGGGCUCCCGCCAUUCAGACACCCCAUGGCUGGGCUGCACAGGCAGGGCUUCUCCUGGGGGCUGUCAUGGCAGGUCCUGAGGGCCCUUUGUUGAACUUCAAGGACCUCCUGCCCCAGCCACCAGCCCUAGAUUCUCAGGGAAUAAACUCCAGCCCUGCCCCUUUCAGAAGCCCUGGACAUGAUCUUCUCAGCUGCCCAGCACUCCAAUGCAGCCAUCACUGAGAUGGAGCGGCUGCAGGACCUGUGGGAGGUGUACCAGCGCCUGGGCCUCGAGGACGACAUAGUAGACCCCUCUAACACCCUGCUCCGUGAGGGCCCGGUCCUCAAGAUCUCCUUCCGCCGCAACGACCCCAUGGAGCGCUACCUUUUCUUGGGUGAUCCAGGUGGGCGCCCAGUUCCAGGUGAGGACCCGCAUCGAUGUGGCCGGGAUGAAGGUGCGGGAGCUGAUGGAUGCUGAGUUUCCCCACUCCUUCCUGGUGUCCGGGAAGCAGCGCACCCUGGAGCUGCAAGCCCGGUCCCAGGAGGAAAUGAUUUCCUGGAUGCAGGCCUUCCAAGCAGCCAUUGACCAAAUCGAGAAGCGGAAUGAAACCUUCAAGGCUGCGGCCCAGGGGCCUGAGGGAGACACCCAGGAGCAGGAGCUGCAGUCUGAGGAGCUGGGCCUCCGGGCACCGCAGUGGGUCCGGGACAAGAUGGUGACCAUGUGCAUGCGCUGCCAGGAGCCCUUCAACGCUCUGACGCGCCGUCGCCACCACUGCCGGGCCUGCGGCUAUGUGAGUACUCCUGCCAGCACUCCUGCCUCCACCUGCGUCACCCAGGCCUCCACCUGCAUCACCCAGGCCUCCACCUUUCCUACCUAGGCCUCCACUUGAUCCACCUAGGCCUCUACCUGCCCCACCUCGGCCUCCAUCUGUGUCACCUCCACCUGUCCCACCUCGGCCUCCACCUGUCCCACCUCGGCCUCCACCUGUCCCACCUAGGCCUCCACUUGUGUCACCCAGGCCUCUACCUUUCCUACCUAGGCUUCCACUUGAUCCACCUAGGCCUCCACCUGUCCCACCUCGGCCUCCACCUGUCCCACCUCGGCCUCCACUUGUCCCACCUCGGCCUCCACCUGUGUCACCUAAGCCUCCACCUGCCCCACCUUGGCCUCUACCUGUCCCACCUCGGCCUCUACCCACCCAGCUGAGGUCCUGCUGUCCCCAUCCUGGCCAAAUCUGCUGGCUUCAACCAAUGCAGCCCAGUGGUGUUGGGCACUAGCUCUGAGCCAGGUGUGUGUAUUACUACCUCAUCUGGCCCUCACAGCACACCUCAGGAGGCUGCUGUUUCCCAUUUUUUAGAUGGGAAAAUGAGACCCAUUGAGGUUAAAUUACUUGCUGAAGGCACCCCUGAAGCUGAUCCUAUGAAUUUACCUGCAUUCUUAUCAUCAUUUUCCACGACCCUGAGACCCAGAGCUAGGAAAUGGUCCCCACUUCCAGUGGGGGGGCAUCUAGCCCCGCACCCCCUCAGGCCUUGCCCCACCACCUCACCAGGCCCAUGCCCACUAUGCACUCACCCACCCCGUCAUCCUCUCUUUACCCGCUUCGGCUAACUGUCCUCUCUUCUCUGCAAGCCCUCAGCACCCUGGCACCUGUUGGAUUCUGUUGUUAACUCUGCCUACUGGUUCAGGCCUCAGUCUCCUUAACUCCGCCAUGGGGAUCGUGAAACCUACCUCCAGUGUGGCAGUGAGGAUUCCACCAAAAAACAUUCUUUCCCUUCCCUCUCCUCUUUUUCUUUCCCCCUCCUCCAUAGCUCAGGCAGGGCAUCCAGUGCGGUUGAGCUACCAGCUUCUUGAGGAGGGAACUGUGUCCACUACAGUUUCUCCUCUUAUCAAUCCAGGCCCAGUUACCCGAGGUAGAUCUCGCUUUGCUUUUUAAGCACUCCUGUACUUGAGCUGUUCUCUGUUGACAUCACAACCCCCUCUGUUUACUCUGCAAACAGAGAAGCCCUUUGCAACCUCAGUCUUUGAUGACCUCCAGAGGACAGGAGGAGUCUAGCUGGACAGGUUGGGGCCAGUCAGGGAGGUGUCCCCAAAAUGUGUUCAACUGCAAUCAGGACAGAGUCAGUUUCUAGGACCUGGGAACACACCUGCCUUCAGAUGUCAGUGAUGAGUUACAUCCCGAAGCCAGGUAGAAAGGAUGUGGGGAUUGGCUACUGUUCCUGGUGAUUCACUUCUGUAAAUAAGAGUUGAAUUGAUUCACACUUGUGAGUGAAAGUAGUUCUUUAAAAAUUACUUAAAAUAGUGAAAUACAAAGAGGCACAAAGAAUAACAACACCCGUGUAGCUGCCUUCCAGCUUAAGAUAGAAAAUAUUCUGACAACUAAAUUAAAUGUAUGAUCCUUGCUUGGAUUCUUUCUGGGGUAAAAUAAAGCUAUCAAGGUUGCUCUUGGGACCAUUGGGAGAAACUGGAUGAUGCAACAUAUCUAGAUAAUAAUAUUGUAUUGGCUGGGUGCAGCGGCUCACACCUGUAAUCCCAGCACUUUGGGAGGCCGAGGUGAGUGGAUCACCUGAGGUCAGAGUUCGAGAACAGCCUGGCCAACAUGGUGAAACCCUGUCUCUACUAAAAAUACAAAAUUAGCCGGGUGUGGUGGUGUACACCUGUAAUCCCAGCUACUCGGGAGGCUGAGGAGGGAGAAUCGCUUGAACCCAGGAGGUGGAGGUUGCAGUGAGCCCAGUUCGCGCCACUGUACUCCAGCCCAGGCAACAAGAGCAAAACUCCAUCUCAAAAAAAUAAAAAAAAAAUAUUGUAUCAAUAAAUUUCCUGAGCGUGACUAUGACACCGUGGAUAGGUAGAAGGACGCCCUUGUUCUUAGGAGACCACCAGCUACAUAUUUAAGGGUGAGGUGUCAUGAUGACUGUAAUUUAUCCUCAAAUGGUUCCGAAAAAAAUAAAAUACACACAUAUAGAGAGAGACAGAGAGCAAAUGUGGCACAAAUGUUAAUAAUUAGUAAAUCUAGUGGGUGGUAUCAUUGUAUUAUUUGUUCAAUUUGUCUGUCGGUAGGAAAUUUUUCAAAAUUAAACGUUGGUAGAGGAAAAAAUAUUUACUAAUUAUAUUUAAACACUGAAAUCGCUCAAUAAAAAAAAAAUGCUGCUAAGGUAGCUGAAGCCCCCGUGUGGGGCUGUGCCCUGACCGUGGGUUUCUCUUGCCUGUGCAGAUCUUCGUGCCUGCUGAGCCAGUGAGUCAUCCUUUCGGUGGUUUGGGUGCCAGUUUCUGUCUCCCCUGCCUGCCAGACGGGAAUCCUUGUGAGGGUGGGGCAGGGCCAGGCCUUCUUCUCCAGGUCCCUGCCAGGCCACACUCUGUGCUGGGCACACAGAGGAGCUCCCUGAGGGGUGGUGCCGCCUGAUGAACUACACUCCCUCUGCCCCUUUCUCCUGCCCUCCAUCACCACGCCCACAUCUGGGCUCCCCAUAAAGCCAAGUCUUCCUCGCAGUCACACCUUGCGGCACCCAGUGUUCCUCUCUGAGUCUUCCCAGGCCCCUUUUACCCAGCCUCCCGGCAUGAUCCAUGUCAGCCUUUGGGGGGUGUCUUUGUGGUGAGCUGAGAGUGGGCCCCCCUCCACAGAGUACCCAUGUAAAAACAACCAGCCUAUCAUGUUUAGGUGAAAACACACUUGACUCCAUGAUGGCGCAGAAUACAAAGUCUGCCUGAAUCUUAAAGCUAAACUGUGGGACUUGAAAGACACACCCUGUGUGUGGAGGGCCUGUCUGCCAGGUAACAGUGUGGCUGGCUCUCAGGAUCAGGAGAGGACAAAAGCUGGGCCCUGCUUGCCUGGUGGGGUCUUUGGGAGAGUCAGCUGAGAUGGCGGAGAGGACAGCAUUUGGAAAAGUGAAUCAGAUGCCAGUGGCCUGUCUGGGGCAAGCCCCUUGGGUUCACAGCAGCCCUCACUCAGAGGGAACCUGGAGGGGAGAGAAGUUACGGCCCUCGCGGUGGGGGCCGGGUCUUGAACCCUCAGCCUAAGAGCCCCGAGCCCGAGCUCCCCCAUGUAUCGCAGCCUCCAGGCAGUUGGGCCUCACCAGCAUCGGGGAGCAUCCCCGCUCUGCCUCUAUUCCUCCCUCGAAGCUUUCUUUUCCUCCCCCAGUCCCUGGUUGCUCUCAUGCCCCCACCUGCCCAACAAGGCAGGAGCCCAGCCCUCCGGUGCCUGGUCUCAGCCCCAUGCCCCCCUGUGUGUCCUCCUCAGGUGGUGUGUGCCAGGUGCUCCGACUACCGGGCCGAACUGAAAUACGACGACAACAGGCCCAACCGAGUCUGCCUCCACUGCUACGCAUUCCUCACUGGAAAUGUGCUGCCUGAGGCCAAGGAGGACAAGAGGCGGGGCAUCCUGGAGAAAGGGUCCUCAGCCACGCCUGACCAGAGCCUGAUGUGCAGCUUCCUGCAGCUCAUCGGGGACAAGUGGGGCAAGAGCGGCCCCCGGGGCUGGUGUGUGAUCCCUCGGGAUGACCCCCUCGUGCUCUAUGUCUACGCUGCCCCUCAGGACAUGAGGGCUCACACCUCCAUCCCCCUGCUGGGCUACCAGGUGACUGUUGGGCCCCAGGGGGACCCUCGGGUCUUCCAGUUACAGCAGUCAGGCCAGCUCUACACCUUCAAGGCCGAGACGGAGGAGCUGAAGGGCCGCUGGGUGAAGGCCAUGGAGCGGGCGGCCAGUGGCUGGAGCCCCAGCUGGCCCAACGACGGGGACCUGUCCGACUGAGCCACUGCCAGCCGCUCUCCUGCCCACCUCUCCCCACCCUGAACCCAGCUCCUGCCACAGACUGACCCUGUGGCCUCAGUGACCCACUGCCCCAAGUGGUGCUUUCAGAGAAUUGAUUCAGCCAUCUGCGCCCAGGCCACGUGUCCCAAUCUGGGAUUAGAAAAUAUGGGUCCAUUCCUUUCUAGAAAGGGGACAACCAAGUGUCUCAGUUUGCCUUGUGGGGAGGGGGCUCCUGGGCCUUGGGACUUCCAGUGCUAAAACUAGGAAAGCCCCAGGUAACCCCGGACUGGUGGUCACCAUAGUGUGGUUUUUCAUUUGUAUCUCCUGGGGAGCUUUUAAAGAGUACUGGUGAAAAACACAUAGUAAAUUAAUUUUAAAAAUGU